GUCUCUUAGAAAUCAUUAAGAGUCAGGCCUGCCCAGUGAUUGCUUUUUAACGGCCGCGGUACCUUGACCGUGCAAAGGUAGCAUAAUCAUUUGCCUUUUAAUUGGAGGCUGGUAUGAACGGUUUGACGAGAGUAAAGCUGUCUCACACACAUUAAAUAAAAACUAAUUUAAAGGUGCAAAAGCCUUUAUAAAACAAAAAGACGAGAAGACCCUGUUGAGCUUUAAUUUUAAUGAGCACCAACUUUAUAUUAAUAUAAUUCAUUUGCUCAAUAAAAAUUUUAAUUGGGGCGAUUAAGGAACACAAUGAAGCUUCCUGACUUUAAUACUAAAUAUUUAUAAAUUAAAUCGAUCCAGCAAUGCUGAUCAACAAAAUGAGUUACCACAGGGAUAACAGCAUAAUUCUUUUUCAGAGCUCAUAUCGAAAAAAGAGAUUGUGACCUCGAUGUUGGACUAGGGUGACGAGAAGGUGGAGCAGCUUUCUUGCUUGGUCUGUUCGACCAGUAAUUCCCU
rnacentral:rRNA from 1 species